UACGAAGGGGGCUAGCGUUGCUCGGAAUCACUGGGCGUAAAGGGUGCGUAGGCGGGUCUUUAAGUCAGGGGUGAAAUCCUGGAGCUCAACUCCAGAACUGCCUUUGAUACUGAGGAUCUUGAGUCCGGGAGAGGUGAGUGGAACUGCGAGUGUAGAGGUGAAAUUCGUAGAUAUUCGCAAGAACACCAGCGGCGAAGGCGGCUAACUGGCCCGGUACUGACGCUGAGGCACGAAAGCGUGGGGAGCAAACAGG
rnacentral:rRNA from 1 species